rnacentral:tRNA from 1 species
GGCUCGGUGGCCGAGAAGAUUGCGGCGCCGGUUUUCGAAGCCGGCAAGACCGUGGUUCGAAUCCCAUUCGGACCG